rnacentral:tRNA from 1 species
GCCCGGGUGGCGGAAUUUGGUAGACGCGCAUGGUUGAGGGCCAUGUGGGAUACUUUCCUGUGCGGGUUCGAGUCCCGCCCCGGGCA